rnacentral:rRNA from 1 species
UGCCAGCAGCCGCGGUAAUACGUAGGCGGCAAGCGUUAUUCGGAUUUAUUGGGCGUAAAGGGUCCGUAGGGGGUUUGCUAAGUCUGAUGUGAAAUACCUCGGCUCAACCGGGGAACUGCAUUGGAUACUGACAGACUAGAGCAUCGGAGAGGAGAGUGGAAUUCCUGGUGUAGCGGUGGAAUGCGUAGAUAUCAGGAGGAACACCGAAGGCGAAGGCAGCUCUCUGGACGAUUGCUGACCCUGAGGGACGAAAGCUAGGGGAGCGAACAGGAUUAGAUA